AUCAGUGUUAUUCGGAGUGGCAGAGAGUUCACAGCUCGGGAGCAAAAUAAAUUCUAAAUUUUGUAGUUUUUUUUUUCGGCAAUAUUUUUUGACUAGAUAUUAAGAAUAAAGUGAUAUUUUUUUUAAACUAAUUUAAGCAAAAAGUGAAAAACACAACCAACAAACAAAAGACAGUAAAACAAAACAAACAAAACAAAAAUGUUCGUUUCGUAAGAAAGUAUUUAGUUCCGGUUCGAGUAAUAAGUUCACUCUAUCUACCUAUCUUCCUUAGAAGAAUAAUACAACAGCCAAUCAACACCUUCUACUCCAUUACUACUUUAAACAAUAAUCAACAAAAAAAAACUGCGAAAAAGACGCUAUUAGGGUCUCACUUUAGCUGGCAGGCGCUCUUCCUCGGGGUCCUACGGAUGCUGUAUCAUAGACGAAUAAUACAACAACCAAUCAACACCUACGCUCUUACAGCAUUAAACAACAAUCAAAGAAAAAACUGCGAAAAAGACACUAUUGGGGUCUCACUUUAGCUGGCAGGCGCUCUUCCUCGGGGUCCUACGGAUGCUGUAUCAUAGACGAAUAAUACAACAACCAAUCAACACCUACGCUCUUACAGCAUUAAACAACAACCAAAGAAAAAACUGCGAAAAAGACGCUAUUGGGGUCUCACUUUAGCUGGCAGGCGCUCUUCCUCGGGGUCCUACGGAUGCUGUAUCAUAGACGAAUAAUACAACAACCAAUCAACACCUACGCUCUUACAGCAUUAAACAACAAUCAAAGAAAAAACUGCGAAAAAGACUCUAUAGGGUUGCGCCCAUCAGCUGGCAGGAGGUCGUCCUCGGAGUCCAACGGAUAUACAUAUACGCGAUCAAGCACGAGCACGAGUGAAAAACUGUACUAUACUAUAUUUUGAU